UCAGAAUCCAUAGUUGGAUCCAUGUAGAUGAUUUUCUGUAUCUGGUAUCUUAAAGAUGCAUUUGUUUUGUAAUUGUAAUCAAAAUCAAAAUUAAAAUAAAUUUAAAUAAAAAUUAAAAUGAUCAUAUUUUUUGAUAUAUUUGAUUUGUAUUGAAAUUAAAAUUAAAAUGGAUGAUUAGAAUUUUAGAAAAGAGUCGAAAUUGAAUUUUAGAAGUGAUCGGACUAUUUCUAUUUCUUUUUAUAAUCUAAAUCGGAAUAAAAUUUUUUUUUAACCAAAUGACUGGAGUGAAAACCAUCUAUUUCUAUUUCCUCUC
rnacentral:lncRNA from 1 species